AUGAACGCUGGCGGCGUGCCUAAUACCUGCAAGUCGCGCGAACAGACGAGGAGCUUGCUCCUCUGACGUUAGCGGCGGACGGGUGAGUAACACGUGGAUAACCUACCUAUAAGACUGGGAUAACUUCGGGAAACCGGAGCUAAUACCGGAUAAUAUAUUGAACCGCAUGGUUCAAUAGUGAAAGACGGUUUUGCUGUCACUUAUAGAUGGAUCCGCGCCGCAUUAGCUAGUUGGUAAGGUAACGGCUUACCAAGGCAACGAUGCGUAGCCGACCUGAGAGGGUGAUCGGCCACACUGGAACUGAGACACGGUCCAGACUCCUACGGGAGGCAGCAGUAGGGAAUCUUCCGCAAUGGGCGAAAGCUUGACGGAGCAACGCCGCGUGAGUGAUGAAGGUCUUCGGAUCGUAAAACUCUGUUAUUAGGGAAGAACAAAUGUGUAAGUAACUAUGCACGUCUUGUCGGUACCUAAUCAGAAAGCCACGGCUAACUACGUG
rnacentral:rRNA from 1 species